CGAAAUGCGAUAAGUAGUGUGAAUUGCAGAAUUCAGUGAAUCAUCGAAUCUUUGAACGCACAUUGCGCCCUUUGGUAUUCCCUAGGGCAUGCCUGUUCGAGCGUCAUCUAAACCUUCAAGCCCUGCUUGGUGUUGGGUGCCUGUCCCGCCUCCGCGCGCGGACUCACCUCAAAUCCAUUGGCGGCCCCCGCGUCGGCCACGAGCGCAGCAGAAACGCGAACUCGUGAGCCCGUCCGGGCGGCUCCCAGAAGCUACACCCACCCAGUUUGACCUCGGAUCAGGUAGGGAUACCCGCUGAACUUAAGC
rnacentral:misc_RNA from 1 species